UACGUAGGGGGGCAAGCGUUGUCCGGAUUUAUUGGGCGUAAAGAGCGUGUAGGCGGUUAGGUAGGUCCGUUGUGAAAACUCGAGGCUCAACCUCGAGACGCCGAUGGAAACCAUCUAACUAGAGUCCGGAAGAGGAGAGUGGAAUUCCUGGUGUAGCGGUGAAAUGCGCAGAUAUCAGGAGGAACACCGGUGGCGAAGGCGGGUCUCUGGGCAGUAACUGACGCUGAGGAGCGAAAGCGUGGGGAGCGAACAGG
rnacentral:rRNA from 1 species